AUGCACGCUGUUUAUAUCUCGCGGUACUUUGGGAGGAACUGUGUUCACUGUGGUUGUUGGUUUAAUCUGAUGUUUGUUAUCACUCAGCCCAGCUGGAAAUGAAAGGAAAAUACCGGGUGGCCAGAGUUCGCCUCCAUCGGCUGUCGUAUGUCAUGGAAUCCAGAGCACUGCAGGUCAUUAACGCUCGACCAACAGUUGUAAUGGAGCAGGAAGAGGUCAGCCUCCCUACUUCAAGGAAGUACUGUCUUCUCCAUGACGUGCCUUUGUGAAUCUGAAGAGGACUGUUCCCUGCUUGGGAACAUCAGCCACUGUAUGAAGAGACUGAGAGGAGGCCAUGUCCUGUAUCCAUGAUUUAUCCUCCAUCGAACUGCCAAUGAUAUUGAAUUAUGACUGUUGAAUUAAAGCUUAAAAUAUAAAAAUUCAA